rnacentral:lncRNA from 1 species
GUCAGGGCCUCGUUCUAUCUGGGGAAGAAAGCCAUACGUCAGACUAACCCUUUUUCAUUCUGAUUAUGCUUAAAUUCUUUUAUUUGAUUUAUGAAAGUCAAAAGAGAAGAUGAAGCAGAUGAUGAAGUGUUUUAACGUUUUUUAGCGUCUGAGAAUGAGAAUGAUUCGAGUCACGAACCAUACGUCAGGGCCUGGAAUCAUCCAGGGAAGAAAGCCAUACGUCAGACUAACCCUUUUUCAUUCCAAUUAAGAUUUAAUUUGUUGCGUUUAAGCAAGAUAACCAAGAAACAAACCAAGCAGAUAUAAUAUACAACGAAUAUAUGCAUGGACGAAAGCUUUUGUCAACUGGUCAAUUUUGCUUCAUCAUGAUUGUUUAGAGAAAAGAAUAAGAAUGAGAAUAAUUCGAGUCACGAGCCAUACGUCAGGGCCUCAAAUUAUUCGGGGAAGAAAGCCAUACGUCAGACUAACCCUUUUUCAUUCCAUUUAUUUUAGUUACGGAGUUUUUCAAGUAAAUAAGUGCUUUUGAGAAACAAACUCACAAUGAAAGUAUUAAAUCAAGUAAGUAAUCCAAACGUUACAUAUGAACUUAUUAAAAUAAGCUUGAGAAAUUUUGAUUAAUUAAUCACCUAACUAACAAUCACUUAAUCAAGUGUUUAACCAUUUAAGCACUUAGUGAUUUGAGCACUUUUAUCAAACAACUUAAAUGGUUACUCACUUAAUCAAGUAUUUAAUUAAUCGACUAAUUAAUCAAUAACUCAAAUAAUCAUUUUCAAAUGAUAAGCGCUUAUUUAAAUAAGCACCUAUGUGGAUAAGCUCUUAUUUGAAUAAGCACUUAUAUGACUAAGCACUAGAAAAUAAAUAAACCGCCACUAGGGUGUAAACUGGGUUCUGGAGGUGACACAAUAGCAAUCUGCAACACCAAAGCCCAGCCCAGACUAAUUUUCGUCCAAACAAAAAAAUGAGUAGAACAAAAAAAAAAUCACAUACAUCAUUAGGAUACGGGUGUAUGGUAGGCUUCCCGGAUCUGGGCCUUUUGAUUUGAUCAAAUGGCUCAGAUUUAAAAAUCCACUAACAGAUCUCGGCCUCACAGCAGAUCUAACGAUCGUGUCUUAAAAUUGGUGAGAACCAAUGAUCCGCUGACACGUCAUCGUCUUGUGGGUUUCACUACUGAGAUGUAUUAGAAGAGUUUUGUGAAAUAAAAUUGAAGUUUGAAUGAUGUUUUGUGUGAUUUCUAAAAAUGGAAAAAAUGGUGAAAAAGAUGAGAUUUUUUGUGGUUCUAGCUCUUCCGAAAAUCCAACCUCUAUUCCUCUCUUCAUUGCUGCUUAUAUAGAGACAAUAGGAACAUUCUAGGCUGAAGGAAUUAGGUUAAAAAGGGUGAAAAAAGAAUUUUCUCAUGAAUGACAUUUUUGGGAAUUUUUGGUGUUAUAGUGGUGAUUUUAUUUGUUCCAAUCAUGAUCCUUGUCCAAUGAUUAGAGGGGAUCACGAAAUUUUGAUGAGUUGGCUUUCUUCUAGAGUAUUCUAGAUGAAAAUGAAGAUAUGCAAUGGAAUUGUUUUGGUAUAUUCCAUUUUUUUUGUGUUUUUGGUACAUUUUUUAGUCACUCGUUCCUAUUUUUUGGGAGUGUCGACUUUGAUCAAAUUGGUAUUUUGGUGAGUGAACCUUAUCUGGGGUAUAAGUGGAAUUUUGAUGGUGAAAUGUGGUUUCUUGAAGGUGAAGUAACAAAAAUGAAUAUAAAAAUAAUAUUUUUAAAUUUUUGAAAUAAUAAUAAAAUAUGAUAAAAAUGGGGUAGGACAAAAUUAGGGUAUCACAGUGGGUUAAAAUGCAUACUCAGAUUAUAGUGUAGAUAGCACACAGUUUAUUUUUUUGUUCCAGAUUUUACUAUUUUACACAUUCGCUACAUAACCUGAGAGGUGGGUCGGAAGAGAGGGUAAAAUUAAUAGCUUAGAGGACUCUUGAGAAGAUCUGGAAAUGAAGUUUUUUCCCUCUUUAUAAAGCUCAGCCCAAAUAUCUUUGUCCAACAAAUUGACACAUGUAAGUACCGGUUCAGAUCAAGUUGCAUGUUUCUGCCGAAAAUAUCACGCUUUAGCAAUUAGAUUCUAUGUAUGUGUAGCUGUGUGUAGGUGCUGGAUUAAUACCAAUUAGAUUAUGAUGCAGCUGGUUAGUGUCGUAAACUUGAAGCUAAUAAAGCAUAAAUGCCAUUCACCACUUUGAUUAUUAAAACAACUCAGAAACAAUUAAUUAUUAUAGAUAAGAGUAGAAUAAUAAUUGUUCGCUGCUCUAAUCACUACAUAUAUGGAUUACUUCUCAUGAUUUAUUCUAUUGGGUAAUGCUAAACGAUGCCCCGGGACACUAGUUAAGCAUACUAAAAAAAGGAAACAAGUGAUAAAGUUAAUAAUGAGAGAGAAUAAGUUUUUACAUCAUGAAAAUUUUGAAUUCACAAUUUACGAAAUAAAAUUUUUAUAUUUAUAUCCUUAACCAUUGCCUCGGGGGCACUGUUUAGCAUUUUCAUAUUCUAUGAGUUAUUCUAUUUUAUAUUCACUAAUAAUAUGGUACAACUUUACUUUUCUCUCUUCCCUUAUCAUGAGAAUUCCGUGUUUCAUAACAUUAUAUGAUAGCAUAUUUGAUAUGCACCUUGUAAAAAAAAAUGUAAAGAUGAAGUAGGAAUUAAGGAUUUGAGGAAGUGAGAGAUUUAAUAUGAACUUCUUAGAACGAAUUGUUCAGGAAAACUUGAAAUCGGUUCUAGAUGACAACAAUUUUUUACUAGGUUUUAUUUAUCGCGACGGAUUAUCAGGCCUUUUUCAUGUGAACCAGAGAAUUAAUAUAAGAAAAAAAAAACUAAUUUGAAAAAACUCACCUAAUUAUGUGGUUGCUUUCAAUGAGACUGAAUUACCUGCUGCUGCUGAGUUCGUAUGCAUAUAGGAGGAUAAUUAGUAGCUUGAUGAUCGAGUCUAGUAUAAACAAUUUAUUGAAGAGAUUAUUCCUUUAAAACUAUAGUUUGGACAAGUGACAAUAGUACACCUCAUGUUAUAAGCCAUAUAUAGCCAGCAGGCAGCAG